rnacentral:rRNA from 1 species
UACAGAGGGGGCAAGCGUUGUUCGGAAUGACUGGGCGUAAAGGGCGCGUAGGCGGCUCAUACAGUCAGAUGUGAAAUUCCUGGGCUUAACCUGGGGGCUGCAUUUGAUACGUGUGGGCUUGAGUGGGGAAGAGGGUCGUGGAAUUCCCAGUGUAGAGGUGAAAUUCGUAGAUAUUGGGAAGAACACCGGUGGCGAAGGCGGCGACCUGGUCCUUGACUGACGCUGAGGCGCGAAAGCGUGGGGAGCAAACAGG